UACGGGGGGGGCGAGCGUUGUUCGGAAUUACUGGGCGUAAAGGGCUCGUAGGUGGCCAACUAAGUCGGACGUGAAAUCCCUCAGCUUAACUGGGGAACUGCGUCCGAUACUGGAUGGCUUGAGUUUGGGAGAGGGAUGCGGAAUUCCAGGUGUAGCGGUGAAAUGCGUAGAUAUCAGGAGGAACACCGGUGGCGAAGGCGCUGCUCUGGGCCGGUACUGACGCUGAGGAGCGAAAGCGUGGGUAGCAAACAGG
rnacentral:rRNA from 1 species